rnacentral:rRNA from 1 species
UGAGGAACAUGACCUUCGGCGGGGGAUAGCCGGCCCAACGGCCGGGUAAUACCGCGUACGACCACAUGGGGACAUCCCUGAGUGGUGAAAGCAGCAAUGCGCCGAUGGAGUGCCUCGCGGCCUAUCAGCUAGUUGGUGAGGUAACGGCUCACCAAGGCAACGACGGGUAGCUGGUCUGAGAGGAUGGCCAGCCACAUUGGGACUGAGACACCGGCCCAGACCUGUACCGGGAGG